AGAACCCGUAGCAACUGUCUCCAUGGUAUCUCCACUUCGUGGCACAGGGGCUGCACUUGUGCUCUGAAGGCGAGACAGAGUAUGGGGUAACAAAAUGUAACCAGAGCUUUUCCCACCAGCAGCGUUCUUGCUCAGUUUCAGUGUUUUCCAGAAGCAUCAUCUGUAUUUAUGGAAGAAGAAUGGGAAAUAGAUCCCGGGAUCUGAGAGAUAAGGACAAGAAAGGAAGGUAGUCCAGUGACCUUGUGGACAGGACUCAUCAAGAUACAGAAGCACCAUGAGAGUGUGGGAAAGAGAGGCAUUGGCCACUGUGGACACUGCUGCAUUGUCUCCAAAUGAAAUUAAAACGUUUUGUAGCUGGUGA